GCACGGGAGCCCCCCACGGGGGCUGAGAGGGCGUCGGAGCCGACCGUCGAACCUGAUCUGGGUCAUGCCAGCGAAGGGAGC
rnacentral:ncRNA from 1 species